rnacentral:rRNA from 1 species
GACAGAGGGUGCAAACGUUGUUCGGAAUUACUGGGCGUAAAGCGCGUGUAGGCUGCUUCGCAAGUCGGAUGUGAAAGCCCUGGGCUCAACCCAGGAAGUGCAUUCGAAACUGCAGAGCUGGAGUCCUGGAGAGGAAGGCGGAAUUCUCGGUGUAGAGGUGAAAUUCGUAGAUAUCGAGAGGAACACCGGUGGUGAAGGCGGCCUUCUGGACAGUGACUGACGCUGAGACGCGAAAGCGUGGGGAGCAAACAGG